rnacentral:lncRNA from 1 species
GUAGAGACAGGUUGAGACAGGUGGAAAGGUUGAGACAGGUAGAGACAGGUAGAGACAGGUAGAGAGGUAGAGACAGGUAGAGACAGAUAGAGAGGUAGAGACAGGUGGAGAGGUAGAGACGGGUAGAGACAGGUAGAGACAGGUAGAGAGGUAGAGACAGGUGGAAAGGUAGAGACAGGUGGAGAGUUAGAGACAGGUAGAGAGGUAGGGAGGUAGAGACAGGUAGAGAGGUUGAGACAGGUAGAGAAGUAGAGACAGGUAGAGAAGUAUAGACAGGUAGAGAGGUAGAGACAGGUAAAGAGGUAGAGACAGGUAGAGAGGUAGAGACAGGUAGAGACAGGUGGAGAGGUAGAGAUAGGUGGAGAGGUAGAGACAGGUAGAGACAGGUAGAGAGGUAGAGACAGGUAGAGACAGAUAGAGAAGUAGAGACAGGUAGACAGGUGGAGAGGUAGAGACAGGUGGAAAGGUAGAGACAGGUAGAGAGGUAGAGACAGGUAGAGAGGUAGAGACAGGUAGAGAGGUAGAGACAGGUAAAGAGGUAGAGACAGGUAAAGAGGUAGAGACAGGUGGAAAGGUAGAGACAGGUGGAGAGGUAGAGACAGGUAGAGAAGUAGAGACAGGUAGAGAAGUAGAGACAGGUAGAGAAGUAGAGACAGGUGGAGAGGUAGAGACAGGUAGAGAGGUAGAGACAGGUAGAGACAGGUGGAGAGGUAGAGACAGGUAGAGAAGUAUAGACAAGUAAAGAGGUAGAGACAGGUGGAGAGGUAGAGGCAGGUGGAGAGGUAGAGACAGGUAGAGAGGUAGAGAGGUAGAGACAGGUAGAGAGGUAGAGACAGGUAGAGAAGUAUAGACAGGUAAAGAGGUAGAGACAGGUAGAGAGGUAGAGACAGGUAGAGAGGUAGAGAGGUAGAGACAGGUAGAGAGGUAGAGACAGGUAGAGAAGUAUAGACAGGUAAAGAGGUAGAGACAGGUAGAGAGGUAGAGACAGGUGGAGAGGUAGAGGUAGAGACAGGUAGAGAGGUAGAGAGGUAGAGACAGGUGGAGAGGUAGAGAGGUAGAGACAGGUGGAGAGGUAGAGAGGUAGAGACAGGUAGAGAGGUAGAGACAGGUAGAGAGGUAGAGACAGGUGGAGAGGUAGAGACAGGUAGAGAGGUAGAGACAGGUGGAGAGGUAGAGAGGUAGAGACAGGUGGAGAAGUAGAGACAGGUAGAGAGGAAUAGCCUGAAACACACUGUGGAAUGAGUGAAUGUGAUAAAG